rnacentral:rRNA from 1 species
CAUGGCGUCAUAGAGGGUGAGAAUCCCGUAUGUGACUGUGGCUCGAGCCCAUGUGAAGCCUCUUCGACGAGUCGAGUUGUUUGGGAAUGCAGCUCAAAAUGGGUGGUAAAUUUCAUCUAAAGCUAAAUACUGGCUGGAGACCGAUAGCGCACAAGUAGAGUGAUCGAAAGAUGAAAAGCACUUUGGAAAGAGAGUCAAACAGUACGUGAAAUUGUUGAAAGGGAAGCGCUUGCAACCAGACCUGCCCGUGGGCGAUCAGCCGCUGUUCUCAGCGGUGCACUCGCUCCACGAUCAGGCCAGCAUCGGUUUCGGCGGUCGGAUAAAGGCCUUGGGAAUGUAGCUUCCUUUCGGGGGAGUCUUAUAGCCCUCGGUGCAAUGCGGCCAGCCGGGACCGAGGACCGCGCUUCGGCUAGGAUGCUGGCGUAAUGGUUGUCAGCGACCCGUCUUGAAACACGGACCAAGGAGUCUAACAUCUAUGCGAGUGUUUGGGUGUCAAACCCAUACGCGGAAUGAAAGUGAACGGAGGUGAGAACCCUUAAGGGCGCAUCAUCGACCGAUCCAGAUGUCUUCGGAUGGAUUUGAGUAUGAGCAUAGCUGUUGGGACCCGAAAGGUGAGCAAAACCCUGUACAGCUCUUACGGGGGCCUCGAAGCUAAUUUGGUCGCAGAUGGUGAACUAUGCCUGAAUAGGGUGAAGCCAGAGGAAACUCUGGUGGAGGCUCGCAGCGGUUCUGACGUGCAAA